CAGUUAAUGGCUCAUACCAGCAAGCCCUGGACUUCAGCCGGCACGUGUGGCUGAAUUUUAAGAAGGUGAAUGACCUUGCAGCUUUGAGCUCUAACUUUGUACUUUUACCUAUUUGUACCUGGCUGUCCAUUUAAAAAAAAAAAUCCAGAAACGUCUACUUGAGACACUGGAGACUAAGUUCUGUCCUUUGUGGAGAAAGCACCCAACGAAUAUGUCUAAAGACAGGCAACACCAGCACCCUACUUCUGCAGUCCUACCUUUCUACCUGGAAAGUUACUGGAAAAUAAAAGAAAGAUGACAACCAUAUUCCCAAACAGGCGAGCUUUACCGGGAAUACCGAGAAAGUGCCAUGUGCUCUAACUGAACAGGAAAAGGCACCAUCCCUACAGGGAAGUUAAGUAAAUGGAUGCUGAGCAGGCUACAGUUUGUGCUGCAUCAGCCCCUAGUUCUUGCUUUAAGAGAACUUGUGAAAAGUGACAGCUUUCCCAGGCCCAAAGAAGCACAUCUUUGAUUUUCAGAUUAGACACUGCUCAACUCAUGAAUUACUAAUAAAAGCCAAUUACAAAGUUAACAGAAAUUGGUUGAAAUGUUGUUGUAU